GCCCUCGUGGUGAAACGGAUAUCACGACAGGCUUCGGACCUGUUAUUCCCCGUUCGAAUCGGGGCGAGGGCA
rnacentral:tRNA from 1 species